rnacentral:rRNA from 1 species
AUUGAACGCUGGCGGCAGGCCUAACACAUGCAAGUCGAGCGAGCGGCGGACGGGUGAGUAAUGUAUGGGGACUGCCCGAUAGAGGGGGAUAACUACUGGAAAAGGUGGCUAAUACCGCAUACUAUCGGAUAACCCAUAUGGGAUUAGCUAGUAGGUGGGGUAAAGGCUCACCUAGGCGACGAUCUCUAGCUGGUAUGAGAGGAUGAUCAGACACACUGGGACUGAGACGCGGCCCAGACUCGUACGGAGGUAGCAGUGGGGGAGAUUGCACAAUGGGCGCAAGCCGGAGGCAGCCAAGCCGCGUGUAUGAAGAAGGCCUUAGGGUUGUAAAGUACUUUCAGCGGGGAAGCGUUACCCGCAGAAGAAGCACCGGCUAACUCCGUGCCAGCCGCCGGGGUAAUU